rfam:Gossypium hirsutum cultivar TM-1 chromosome 7, whole genome shotgun sequence
UUUUAAAAAUUUCAUCUUUUUAUAUUGUUAAAAAUUGACGUGAUUGAUAGAAUAAUUGGACAGUGACACAUGGCAUGCCAUGUGUACCUCCUACUAACGUACAUGAACCGGUUUUUAAUAAUAAAAAUGGAUGAAAUUUGUAAUA